UAUGAUAGAAUAAAAUACUACUAAACAUUUAGGUUAUUAUAUUUAAUUGGAAAGAAGUUAUAUUUUUUCAUUUUUUAAAAUAUUUUAUUUAUUUUCAAGAGAGAAAGAGAGAAUGCAAAAGGAGAAGGGCAGAGGAAAAGGGAAAGAGAGAAUCUCAAGCAGAUUCCACGCUGAGUUUGGAGCCCUACUUGGGGCUUGAUCCCACAACCUUGAGAUCAUGACCUGAGCAAAAAUCAAGAUUGAUUUUGACUGUCAACCAGGUGCCCCAGAGGUUACAUAAUUUUAAAAAUGUACUUUAAGAUUAUAUGGAUUUUUGCAACAUAAAUAUUCCAAGGUAAAUAAUUUUUUAUUGCCCAGCUCUGCUCUGGAUCUUUAUUGCCCAGCUCUGCUCUGGACCAUUUCUCAGUCCACCUUGCCAUCUACUUCUGGCCAUGUUCUGGUAAUUAAGUCCUUGGAAGAUGAUUGCAAAACUGAGAUGGGAGAGAAACCACAAUAUAUGUUUCAAGAUUCUAGUUGCUUUCAGACAAAUUUGUUCUUAGAAGUUGUAUCAACCACAGAAGAAAAGGAAUAA
rnacentral:lncRNA from 1 species